AGCGAACGCUGGCGGCAGGCUUGACACAUGCAAGUCGAGCGGGCACUUUCGGGUGUCAGCGGCGGACGGGUGAGUAACGCGUGGGAACGUGCCCUCUGGUUCGGAAUAACUCAGGGAAACUUGAGCUAAUACCGGAUACGCCCUUUUGGGGAAAGGCUUGCUGCCGGAGGAUCGGCCCGCGUCUGAUUAGCUAGUUGGUGAGGUAACGGCUCACCAAGGCGACGAUCAGUAGCUGGUCUGAGAGGAUGAUCAGCCACACUGGGACUGAGACACGGCCCAGACUCCUACGGGAGGCAGCAGUGGGGAAUAUUGGACAAUGGGCGCAAGCCUGAUCCAGCCAUGCCGCGUGAGUGAUGAAGGCCUUAGGGUUGUAAAGCUCUUUUAUCCGGGACGAUAAUGACGGUACCGGAGGAAUAAGCCCCGGCUAACUUCGUG
rnacentral:rRNA from 1 species